rnacentral:antisense_RNA from 1 species
ACUGUCCCUCUGUCUUCUGUGGCAUCCUUUGCCUUGCAGCCACAGCCCUGCUAGCCCAGGCCAAGGGAGUCCGACCCCCACCCCGAAGCACAGGGAAGUUGCUGCCCUUUCCCGCAGUGACAGGAAUCCUCUCAAAGGUUCUGGAAGGCAAGGAUGCGGCCAUCCCUGGAGACGCCAAGGACCAUCAUGUGAGGUGGCUUUUAUCCUCCUCGCCCCUACUGGUACAGACGAGAAGAAACUGCGACUCAGAAGUUAAGCAUUUUCCCAUGGUCACUGGGCUACACAGAAAGGCCAGGAUUUGAACCCAAGCUUCUGCUUCCACCUAUCUUCAUUAGGAGUCAAGUUAUACUGUGGGUCUCAACCAUGGCUGCUCACUGGAAUCACGUGGAAGCUUCCCAAGUACUGAUGUCUGUGUCCCCAGCCCAGAGGUUCUGAUAUCAUUGUCUGGGUGUGGCCUAGCCUUGGAUCUGCAAAAGCUCCCUAGGCAGUUCCACUGCAUGAAGUUGAGAACCACUGAUACAGAGUGACCUCACCUCCCUACCCCCAAUGGAGGUGCUAUGGUUUGAAGAGCAAAACUCAUGUUGAAAUUUAACUGUUCUUGCACCUCCUGCAGAGCCUGGGAGCUCCCAGUCCAGCCAAGGAUGUUGGAUCUCAUGGUCCUAAGUACUUCUUUGACACCCCAUUCCCCUCAGUAAAAUAGUUUGACCCCUUCACCAAAAAAAAAAAAAAGAAAGAAAUUUAAUUGCCAUGAUGAUGGUAUUAAAAGGUGGGACCUUUAAGAGGUGAUUAGGUUAUGAGGGUUCAGCCCUCGUGAAUGGAUUAAUGCCGUUAUCUUGGGAGUGGAUUAGUUAUCCCAGGA